rnacentral:rRNA from 1 species
UACGAAGGGGGCUAGCGUUGUUCGGAAUUACUGGGCGUAAAGCGCGCGCAGGCGGUCCUUCAAGUCAGAGGUGAAAGCCCAGAGCUCAACUCUGGAAUGGCCUUUGAGACUAGAGGACUUGGGUACGGGAGAGGUGAGUGGAAUUCCGAGUGUAGAGGUGAAAUUCGUAGAUAUUCGGAAGAACACCAGUGGCGAAGGCGGCUCACUGGCCCGUUACCGACGCUCAGGCGCGACAGCGUGGGGAGC